rnacentral:tRNA from 1 species
GGAGAGGUGGCCGAGAGGCUGAAGGCGCGCCCCUGCUAAGGGCGUAUGGGAGAAAUCUCAUCGAGGGUUCGAAUCCCUCCCUCUCCGCCA